rnacentral:rRNA from 1 species
GAUGAACGCUGGCGGCGUGCCUAAUACAUGCAAGUCGAGCGAACAGACGAGGAGCUUGCUCCUCUGACGUUAGCGGCGGACGGGUGAGUAACACGUGGAUAACCUACCUAUAAGACUGGGAUAACUUCGGGAAACCGGAGCUAAUACCGGAUAAUAUAUUGAACCGCAUGGUUCAAUAGUGAAAGACGGUUUUGCUGUCACUUAUAGAUGGAUCCGCGCCGCAUUAGCUAGUUGGUAAGGUAACGGCUUACCAAGGCGACGAUGCGUAGCCGACCUGAGAGGGUGAUCGGCCACACUGGAACUGAGACACGGUCCAGACUCCUACGGGAGGCAGCAGUAGGGAAUCUUCCGCAAAGGGCGAAAGCCUGACGGAGCAACGCCGCGUGAGUGAUGAAGGUCUUCGGAUCGUAAAACUCUGUUAUUAGGGAAAAACAAAUGUGUAAGUAACUAUGCACGUCUUGACGGUACCUAAUCAGAAAGCCACGGCUAACUACGUG